CCUACGGGAGGCAGCAGUGGGGGAUAUUGCACAAUGGGGGCAACCCUGAUGCAGCGACGCCGCGUGAGUGAAGAAGUCUUUCGGUAUGUAAAGCUCUAUCAGCAGGGAAGAAGAAAUGACGGUACCUGAGUAAGAAGCACCGGCUAAAUACGUGCCAGCAGCCGCGGUAAUACGUAUGGUGCAAGCGUUAUGCGGAUUUACUGGGUGUAAAGGGAGCGCAGGCGGCAUGGUAAGCCUGUUGUGAAAGUCAGCGGCUCAACCGUGGAACUGCAUUUGGAACUAGCAGGCUGGAGUGCAGGAGAGGUAGGCGGAAUUCCUAGUGUAGCGGUGAAAUGCGUAGAUAUUAGGAGGAACACCAGUGGCGAAGGCGGCUUACUGGACGGUGACUGACGCUGAGGCUCGAAAGCGUGGGGAGCAAACAGGAUUAGAUACCCUAGUAGUC
rnacentral:rRNA from 1 species